rnacentral:RNase_P_RNA from 1 species
AGUCAGCUGUGUAAUCGCUUUGCAAUUGCAAAGAGGAAAGUCUGGGCUCCAAAGAGUAGAGUGCCAGGUAACUCCUGGGAAGUGUGAACUUACGGAAAGUGCAACAGAAAAUAUACCGCAAUUUAAUUGUAAGGGUGAAAUGGUGUGGUAAAAGCGCACCGCAGAUGUAGUAAUAUAUCUGGCAAGGUAAACCCCACUCGGAGCAAGGCCAAAUAGAAAAGUUAUAGCGUUACUCGCGCUGCUUUUGGGUAGGCUGCUAGAUAUGUUCGGCGACGAACAUACAAGAUUAAUGAUUACAAUUUACAGAACCCAGCUUAUAGGCUGACUCA